GAUGAACCACGCAAAUAGUGCAGUGAAGGGAGUUGUGGAAUCUAUAGCAAAUGCAGACUCUCACGCAUGCUUUAGACUUAUGCAACUCCAUGUGAAAUUCGUGUUUUACCACAUUAUCGUCUGGUAUAUAUUUUUUGAAGAUACUUAGUGCGGUUCCUAUUUUAUGGAUGCAAUUCUAAUGAUAUUUUGUGUACACAGGAUCUAAGGGAAAUGCUGCAAAUGCAUGAGACUCUAGGCAAAAGAAAAUACAUAGUUUUUGGGUCUCAUCAUACUCCAAAUAAAGAACAUGUCAAUUUCAUUCCGCCGAAAAAAAAAAUUAGAAGCGCCAAUUGUAUCUUUUUACAAUACAUGUGAGAUUUUGAUCGCAUGAAAGAAGAGAUCUCAUAUCUGAUAAGCAUUCAGAGGAUAUGGAAAAAAUAAAGAAAAAGAAGUAAAAGUUUAAGACAAUAAAGAAACAUAAGGAAAACACAAGGAAGAAGAAAAAUCAAAGGUAAAGAAGACGAAAAAGAAGA
rnacentral:lncRNA from 1 species